UACCAGCAUCCCGAGUGGUCGGGACGUUUAUUGGGCCUAAAGCAUCCGUAGCCGGUUCUACAAGUCUUCCGUUAAAUCCAACUGCUUAACAGGUGGGCUGCGGAAGAUACUAUGGAGCUAGGAGGCGGGAGAGGCAAGCGGUACUCGAUGGGUAGGGGUAAAAUCCGUUGAUCCAUUGAAGACCACCAGUGGCGAAGGCGGCUUGCCAGAACGCGCUCGACGGUGAGGGAUGAAAGCUGGGGGAGCAAACCGG
rnacentral:rRNA from 1 species